rnacentral:ribozyme from 1 species
GUUGAAUGAAUCCUGGAAAUAAAUUUCCAAUUUUUUCUUUUCUUCUUUUUUUCUUUUCUUCCGGCUGAU